rnacentral:rRNA from 1 species
UACGUAGGGCGCGAGCGUUGUCCGGAAUUAUUGGGCGUAAAGAGCUCGUAGGCGGCCGGUUGCGUCUGCUGUGAAAUCCCGGGGCUUAACCCCGGGCGUGCAGUGGAUACGGGCCGGCUGGAGGCAGGCAGGGGAGAAUGGAAUUCCCGGUGUAGCGGUGAAAUGCGCAGAUAUCGGGAGGAACACCGGUGGCGAAGGCGGUUCUCUGGGCCUGUACUGACGCUGAGGAGCGAAAGCGUGGGUAGCAAACAGG